rnacentral:pre_miRNA from 1 species
AUGUAGGGUAAUCUGUCUUUAAGUAGGGAGAAAUUGCUCUAAAACAAAAAAGAAUCCUACAUAGUUUUCCCUUCAAGUCAAGCGUCUUGU